rnacentral:rRNA from 2 species
UUUAAUGAGAGUUUGAUCCUGGCUCAGGACGAACGCUGGCGGCGUGCCUAAUACAUGCAAGUAGAACGCUGAGGUUUGGUGUUUACACUAGACUGAUGAGUUGCGAACGGGUGAGUAACGCGUAGGUAACCUGCCUCAUAGCGGGGGAUAACUAUUGGAAACGAUAGCUAAUACCGCAUAAGAGUAAUUAACACAUGUUAGUUAUUUAAAAGGAGCAAUUGCUUCACUGUGAGAUGGACCUGCGUUGUAUUAGCUAGUUGGUGAGGUA